rnacentral:lncRNA from 1 species
CAGGUUCUUUAUGAAUGUCAGUAUUUUAUUGGCAGGAAUUUGCAGCUAUAUAGUAUCUUGACAGUCUAUACAUUUUUCUCUAUGCUAAAAUUUCAUUUUGUGUUGCAUUAGCAGAAGACAUUGUCUAGAUUGUUUUCACCUGUCAUGGAUACUCGAACAAUGCAAUGGCAAUCUGAGAACUCAACUCAACCCGUUCUUGUAUGGAUGCCUCUUUUUUUCUCCUCACUCAGGACUCAGGAGAGCAGAAGACUGUUGACAAUGAUGAGAAAAUCAGAAUAAAGAGGACAACAGUAUGUACGUCUAUUUUCUUCUUUGGUAUCAACUCUACUUGGCUUCUGGUAAUCGUGUUUGGUACAUUCCUGGCUUUGUUAUAGAUUCAAUAAUAUCGUGGAGAUCCCAGCUUCUUCAAGUCGUCAAGUCAACUAUUCAAAUCAUUGAUCUAUUUUUUCACUUAAGAUAUAUCACGUCUUCAAGUACAUGGAGUUUGCAUGAAUUUAAUUUGUGAUCAAUUGCCUCAAGACUUUAGGGACUGGAAAUACAAUAAAGAGAAGCUUUACUAACUUACUGGCCUUCUAGCGAUAAGUACAAGACCAUUUUAUACGGUAUUCAACACUCUUUUGAGAUAGUUGAUGCUGCAUACAUUUCAUAGAACUUUGAUCUGCAUGGGAAUCACAAAGCAAAAUUUCUGAAUCAUGACGAGGAAUUUGAAGUGAACGAGGCUAAUAGCUAACUUAAUAAGAAGAUGAUGCCAUGCUGACAGUUAACCAGGGAUUGGAGCCUGCAAAAACUGUUUGAUCCAACUAGGUGAAGCACUACAUAGUGACUUCCAUAGGAUGCUUUUCAGUCUAUUGAGGUACCAUCGAGUCUUCCCCAUCUCUCUUCAUUCAGACUGAGGUUGACAUGUUUUAUGGAUGUCAGUAUCUUUUUGGCAGGAGCUAAGCUAUAUAACAAUGUCUUAACAAUUGGAGAUGACUGGUUAAACUGCUUAUGCGGUGCUAUUUUUCAGGGUAGAACUUUGGGUUGUUCCUUUUUCUCUUAUAUUUCUACACUAAAGCUUCAUGAAUGACAUACAGGAGUGUGAUGGGAUAGAUAUACAUGGCUGCAUCCAACACAUUCUCUUCCCAUAUCUUUUCCUUUCAGAACUUGCUCUCUGUCUUAUGCUGCAAUUUCAUAUAUUUUCCUCUAAUUUUAAUUUCUCAGAAAGUGUAUUUCUUGCAGAAGACCUCAUCUGGACUGUUUUACUCCUGUUACAGUUAUUCAAACAAGGCAAUGGUGCGUCCUUCGACUCAGUCAAAUCAUGUUGUAUGAUUGGCCCUCCUUUUUUUAGUUGGCUUUCAAUCAGGAGAUCAGAGAACUGUAGAAAAUGGAGAGAUACUCUCGGAGUAACGAGAGAGGACCAUCUUAAGAUUUGAUUAAGUAAUGUUGUGGAGCCUCCCAUGUUGCAUCUUCACACUCUCAACUAUUCAAAUCUUUGAUCUAUUUUCCCGUUUAGGAUAUUUUGUAAUCUCGGCAGUAUGUAGUUUUACAUGAAUCUCUAAUCAAUCGCGUUGAGGCAGACAUAACUGACUGAAAGCCUGACAAGAGAAAAACACAACAAACUCACUAGUCUUCCAUUGACUGUUUGAAGGCUAUUUGAUAACGAGAACUGCUUGCAUUUCAGACAACCUUGAUCAGAAUGGGAGUGUAAAUCAAAAUUUCUGGAUCUUGAAGAGGUAUUUAAGCAGAAUGAAGCUCUGAUGGUACUUAUCCCAGUAUGAAGCUGAUGCCCUUGAUCCAGCUAGAGAAAGAGAUACUAUUUAGCAACUAUUCAUGGUAUGUACACCACUCGAGUCUUUCCCUAUCUCUUUUCGUUCAAAAAGAGGCAUACAUAUUGGAUCGCAUGAACUUAAGCUCUAUAUAAUCUCUCUCUGUUAACAAUUUAGAGACAACUGGUUCACUGCUAACAUUACUAGUUGUCAAAGGCAUGACUUUGGAUUGGUCUUUUUCUCUUAUCCUUGAAAAACUAUCUCAUUGCUGCGCGAAAUCAACAGUUUAUCAUUCUCUUCCUGUCUUCUUUUUCUUUCAAGACUAGUUUUCUAUCUGACAUUGCUCUCAACACAUUUUUUUCUAUGCUGAUUCUCAUCUAUAAUUAUAUGUCUUUUGCAGACAUCCUAGUUUGUUUUACACCUGCAAUGGUGAUACAAGCCGUCCAACUAUCGGAUUAGGAAUGUGAAGGCUUGUUCAGAAUGAGACCGGAGAAAGAAAGAGCUAUACUAUUGAUCAGACAUCUUUUGUCUCAGUUUAAAGUGCUCAAUUCAUGAUUGAUGAAUCCCAAAGUCCAAUUCAUGUUGAAUAUUUUGAAACCUUUCAGUAAAUGUUUAAGCAUUUUCGACAAGUUGUGAUCUCAACAUUUCUAUUACAUGUUCUAUAUUGGGUUUUAUUAGCUCAUUGUUGAUGAAUUGUAACUUCAAUCCCUGCUAGAUGUUGUGAUACUUUUCUAUAAAUAUAGAGGGGCGGAACCAAGAUUUUAAUCUUAUGGGUUCUUAAUUUUUGAACUGACU